UAUCUCUGUAGAGUCUGCAUAUCAAUAAGCGGAGGAAAAGAAACUAACAAGGAUUCCCCUAGUAACGGCGAGUGAAGCGGGAAGAGCUCAAAUUUGAAAUCUUCAAGGUUUGACCUUGACGAAUUGUAGUUUAAAGAAGUGUUUUCGGUUAGAGGAGUAGUAAAAGUUCUUUGGAAUAGGACAUCAUAGAGGGUGAGAAUCCCGUAUUUGACUAUUCUUUCUAGCUUUGUGAUACACUUUCAAAGAGUCGGAUUGUUUGGGAAUGCAGUCCAAAAUGGGUGGUAAAUUUCAUCUAAAGCUAAAUAUUGGCGAGAGACCGAUAGCGAACAAGUACCGUGAGGGAAAGAUGAAAAGAACUUUGAAAAGAGAGUUAAACAGUACGUGAAAUUGUCAAAAGGGAAGCGUUUGACACCAGUGUUGUUUUUCCGAAAAUCAAUUAAAAAUUGAUUCACUGCCAGGUUGUAUUGACCUUAUCAGCUUGCAAUUUGGUUUUGGGUCUCUUUUUGAUGCACUUUUCGGUUAACAAGUCAACAUCAAUUUCCUUUGCUGUAAAAAGGUAAGAGGAAGGUGGCUUCAAUUUCGGUUGAAGUGUUUAUAGCCUUUUAUCUCUGCAGUCGGGGAGAUUGAGGUCUGCAGCGUAGAUCCUUCGGGGCUAGAUACAUUUAUGCUAAGUUAUAGCUUUUCAUAGACAACUUGUUGACUAUGUUUAGUCAUGUAGCUUACUCGUAAGUGCUAUUUUACCUACGCUUAGGAUGUUGAAGACUCUACAGAGAU
rnacentral:rRNA from 1 species